GCCGGGCGUCGUGGCGGGCGCCUGUAGUCCCAGCUACUCGGGAGGCUGAGGCAGGAGAAUGGCGUGAACCCGGGAGGCGGAGCUUGCGGUGAGCCGAGAUUGCGCCACUGCGCUCCAGCCUGGGGGACAGAGCGAGACUCCGUCACAAAAAAACAAAACAACAACAAAAAAAACUUGAUAGUUUGCCAACAAUCCACUAUUUUGUAGUCUAGUUAAUUUUUUUUUUUUUUUAAGACGGAGUCUUGCUCUGUCGCCAGGCUGGAGUGCAGUGGCCCAAUCUCGGCUCACUGCAGUCUCCACCUCCCAGGUUCAAGCGAUUCCUCUGCCUUAG
rnacentral:SRP_RNA from 1 species